rnacentral:rRNA from 1 species
GACGAACGCUGGCGGCGUGCUUAACACAUGCAAGUCGAACGAAGUGGCGGACGGGUGAGUAACGCGUAAUCAACCUGCCCUUCAGAGGGGGACAACAGUUGGAAACGACUGCUCAUACCGCAUACUGAGGGUGGGGUUUGCGUCUGAUUAGCUAGUUGUGGGGGUAACGGCCCACCAAGGCGAUGAGCAGUAGCCGGUCUGAGGGGAUGAACGGCCAAAUUGGGAAGGGGAAACGGCCCAGGCUCCUACGGGAGGCAGCAGUGGGGAAUCGUCCGCAAUGGACGAAAGGCUGACGGAGCAACGCCGCGGGAGGGAUGACGGCCUUUGGGUUGUAAAGCUCUGUUAAUCGGGACGCGGUACCGGAAGAGAAAGCCACGGCUAACUACGUGCCAGCCGCCGCGGUAAUAC